rnacentral:rRNA from 1 species
UACGUAGGGGGCAAGCGUUGUCCGGAAUCAUUGGGCGUAAAGCGGCGCGUAGGCGGCCCGGUAAGUCCGCUGUGAAAGUCCAGGGCUCAACCCUGGAAGGCCGGUGGAAACUGUCGGGCUAGAGUCCGGAAGAGGCGAGUGGAAUUCCCGGGUGUAGCGGUGAAAUGCGCAGAUAUCGGGAGGAACACCAAUGGCGAAAGGCAGCUCGCUGGGACGGUAACUGACGCUGGAGACGCGAAAAGCGUGGGGAGCAAACAGG